AAAUUUUUCAAAAUUUUCGGGCCAAUUACAAAAAUAUUUGAGGAUAUACCGAAAAUUUCUAGAAUUUCCAGGAAGAUUCAUACUACCGGAAAUUUCAAAUUUCCAGAAUACUGGAAAUUUCAAAUUUUUGGAAUACCGGAAAUUUCUCAGUAAGUUGAAAUUUUUGGUAUGUCUGCAGAUGAAAUUUUGCAUCUGUGUGGUCCAACACCGACAACAUCUUCUACGGACUUAUGUACAGAUUAUACAGAGUUCUUCACCACAUAUACGUUUACAGAUUUUUAACUCCCAAAGUUUUAGCAAGGACACAAUCUAUUGCAAUACGAGGCGGGAAGGAUAAAUUAAUUAUGGAUUGUGAAAGAGGAGAAAAUUACAAAAGAAAAAUGCAUCUAAAACCACUAAUUUCUCUGAUGGCAUUUAUAGUAUGAAGGUUAAAUGUCCGUUUAGGCUGAGAUCUAUUCCAAGUGAUUCCAGUUGAAACGUGAUGGUUAAAUGCGAGAUGCACAAUCAUAGAGUAGAAAAUGAUCUGGAAGGCCACAAUAUAUUGGGUCGUCUAAAAGAUCAUGAAAGAAAGUUCGUGAAUGACAUGACGAAGUACAAUAUGGCUCCUAGGUACAUAAUUGCUGCUUUGAAAGGCAAAGAUCCAAAAAACCUCACAAGUAUUACCCAAGUGUAUAAAGCUAGAUCAACAUACAGAGUAGGCAAGAGAGGCACAUUGGCAUAAAUGAAAAUGUUAUUAAGCCUUAUUCACAAAGAGAAAUACAUGUGUUGGACUAGAAAUAGGGACAACUUGGAUAUUAUAGCUGAUAUCUUCUAGACCCAUCUUGAUUAUGUGAAGUUGUUGCAUAUGUUUCAUCUGGUUUUAAUAUUUGAUUAUACAUACAAGACAAAUAAGUAUCGGAUACCACUGUUUGAGAUUAUUGGUAUUACGUCAACGAAGUUGGCGUUUUCAGUUGCCUUUGCCUAUUUGGAACAUGAAAGGGAGAAGAAUUUCACAUGGACACUAGAGAAGCUCAAAGAAUUGUUCACUUCAGAGAAAUUGUUAUUGAAGGUUGUGGUGACAGACCGAGAACUUGAAAUGAUGAAUGCCAUGGAUUUUGUGUUUCCAAAUACAACUCAUCUAUUGUGCUCGUUCCACAUUUCAAAAAAUGUGAGCAUGACAUGUAAAAAGUACGUGAAAUGAGAAAGACAAGAACAUGUCAUGGAUCUAUGGAACAACAUCAUGUAUUUAAAUACAUAAAGUGAGUUUGAUGUACACUUCAAGCACUUUGAAAGUGUUUGUGUUGAUAUUCCUUUAUUUGUUAAGUAUGUGAAUGAAACAUGCUUAACACCUUAUAAAGAGAGAUUUCUUGCUGCAUGGACUAACAGAGCCACUCAUUUAGGGAACACAACAACAAACGGAUACACAGAUCAUGACAGCUUUAUGUUAUUAUCAUUUAUGUUUAUGUUUCAAAAAUAUAUUGAAUCAUGUUUUUCUAUUUAUGGAUCUUUGGAUGGAGUCUGCUCAUUGGAGAUUAAAGAACAUGUUGACUACAGGUCAGGGUGAUUUAUGCUGAAGUUGGGAUGCUGGGAAUACCAUGUGGAAGUUGCAGCUUGGUUCCAUAAGAGUGUCGUUUCAAAAAAGUAUUGUCAAUAUUGAGCAUUAGUAUAAAACUCCAUUAUAUGCUAAGUCGCACGGGUUUGUCUCAAGACAAUGUAUAUAGCUCAUUGGAAAGGAGCUGGAAAGGGUAAAAUUUGCCGGUUCUAGUAAAGAUAGAUGUGGCUGCUUUAUUAGAACAACACAUGGGUUACCGUGUGCGUGUCAGCUUGCAGGUUUCCAACUUCUAGGCAACCCUGCUCCUUUAGACUCAAUUCAUCUAUUCUGGAUGAAAUCGCACAUUGCAUAUCACGAGUCGGGUCAUGAUGAGAGUAGUGCGAAAUGGGAUUUGGAAGAAGAGUGUGAAAAGUUGAAGAGAUAUUUUAGUACUUUGAAUAUGUAGGUCAGAUGAUGUUAAAGAAAAAAGUUUGUAAUCUAACAUAUCCAUCCACAACUUCAAUGUGUCCACCGCUGGUGAAGUAUAUGUCAAAUAGGGGAGUAAAGAAGAGUAGAAAGGGUCAAGGGAAUGAUGUGCAUCGUGAUGCUAGUAAGUGGGAGCAUGUUGAGGCUUCGCAGGAGAGUGAGACUAUGAAGAGAUCAUGCACAAAACAAACAACAAGUCAAGAGACCAUUGGUAGCGAACCAUCCACCAAGUCUUCCAAACAUAUUUACCUGUCAUAGUUUCCUGUUGUCUUACAUCCAUACAUCAAUGACAUUAUCGAUGUUGAUGAUGAUGGAAAUUGUGGUUUCCGUUCUAUUGCAGCUUUACUUGGAUGGGGAGAAGAGUCAUGGUCUUUGAUACAAACGCAGUUAAAUACUCAAGUACAUCAACACUCUGAUUUGUUUUUCAAGUUGUUAUAUGACAGUGUCUCUACAGUUAGGAAUGUGUUACGCGUAGAACACUUGGGUGUGCAGGGUAGGGGAAAAUGGAUGACGAUUACUGAUAUGGGUUACCCCAUUGCUUCUAAGCAUAGUGUCGUAUUUGUUUCCCUUCUCACAAGACUUAACAUCACAUUUUUCCCCUUAUCUUAGCUCCUCAUAUGUAUAUGAGUAUGCACACAAUCAUUGUUGUUGGUUUUGUCAACGGGAAUCGUUGGGUUCAGGUAAAGUUGAAACUUGAUUGUCCAUUGCCUCCCGUAACAGACCGUUGGAAAAAGAAUUGUACUAAUGAUGCAAAAGCUUGGGAAUCAGCAUAUGCGAGUCGCUUUAGACACUAGGAAGACAUGUAUACAAAGUCAUAGUAGUUUGUUUUUUAUGCAUAUA